AAGGUUUCCAGAGUAAAGCUGAUCUGCUCUGGGUAAGUCGGGGCCUAAGGCGAGGACGAGAGUCGUAGCCGAUGGACAACAGGUGGAGAUUCCUGUACUGCGGUAUGACAGAACUGUGGGGACACGUAAGGAAAGCGGAAGCCGGGAAUGGAAAGCCCGGUGCAAGCGGGGUACCAGUCACUUUGGCAAAUCCGGGUGGCAAUGGGAAGCCGUGAUGCGGAGCGAAAUAAAGUAGCGAAGUCCGUGAGCCAUGCGUCAAGAAAAGCCGCUAUCGUUUAUACCGUACCCGUACCGUAAACCGACACAGGUGGAUGAGGAGAGAAUCCUAAGGCCGGCGGGAGAAGCAUUGUUAAGGAACUCGGCAAAAUGACCCCGUAACUUCGGGAGAAGGGGUGCCCAUGAAAGUGGGCCGCAGAGAAUAGGCUCAAGCAACUGUUUAGCAAAAACACAGGUCUAUGCGAAACCGAAAGGUGAGGUAUAUGGGCUGACGCCUGCCCGGUGCUGGAAGGUUAAGAGGAGAGGUUAGCGCAAGCGAAGCUUUGAAUUUAAGCCCCAGUAAACGGCGGCCGUAACUAUAACGGUCCUAAGGUAGCGAAAUUCCUUGUCGGGUAAGUUCCGACCCGCACGAAAGGCGUAAUGAUUUGAGCGCUGUCUCGACAAUGCAUCCGGUGAAAUUGAAGUACCAGUGAAGAUGCUGGUUACCUGCGCCAGGACGGAAAGACCCCAUGGAGCUUUACUCCAGUCUGGUACUGGGACUCGGUAUUGCAUGUACAGGAUAGGUGGGAGGCUAGGAGAUGGUAACGCCAGUUGCCAUGGAGCCGCUGUUGGGAUACCACCCUUGCAGUAUUGGGUUUCUAACCAGCCGCCGUGACCCGGCGGUGGGACAAUGCCAGACGGGGAGUUUGACUGGGGCGGUCGCCUCCGAAAGGGUAUCGGAGGCGCCCAAAGGUUCCCUCAGAAUGGACGGAAACCAUUCGAAGAGUGCAAAGGCAGAAGGGAGCUUGACUGCGACACCGACGGGUGGAGCAGGUACGAAAGUAGGACUUAGUGAUCCGGUGGUAUAAAGUGGGAUUGCCAUCGCUCAACGGAUAAAAGCUACCCUGGGGAUAACAGGCUUAUCACUCCCAAGAGUUCACAUCGACGGAGUGGUUUGGCACCUCGAUGUCGGCUCAUCGCAUCCUGGGGCUGUAGUAGGUCCCAAGGGUUGGGCUGUUCGCCCAUUAAAGCGGUACGCGAGCUGGGUUCAGAACGUCGUGAGACAGUUCGGUCCCUAUCCGGCGUGGGCGUAGGAUAUCUGAGAGGAGCUGUCCUUAGUACGAGAGGACCGGGAUGGACGGGCCGCUGGUGCAUCGGUUAGACUGCCAAGUCUACGGCCGAGUAGCCAAGCCCGGAAGGGAUAAACGCUGAAGGCAUCUAAGCGUGAAGCCCCCCUUAAGAUGAGAUAUCCCAUUCGUUAAGAAGUAAACCCCCUUGAAGACGACGAGGUAGAUAGGGCAGAGGUGGAAGUGUGGCAACACAUGGAGCUGACUGUUACUAAUCGGGUGAGGGCUUGACCAA
rnacentral:rRNA from 1 species